AUGUCGCGUCGCGGCUCACAUAUAGUGGUCGCCGCCCUGCCGCCGCCGCCCGUCCGACGGCAAGCCAUGGUGUCGCUGCUGCUGCGCAAGGUGUCGGGCUCCGUGCCGCGCCGCACGACCCGGACGCCUCCUCAUCGUCCUACCAUGUGGCACCUUCAGGGACCUCUGCGACCACGUAUGGAGGCGAAGGUGGAGAUCGUGAUGCGGGAGGAGGAGCUCGGGGAGAGGUGGAGGCGGCCAUGGGGCAGCUCCAGGCCUCCACGCUCGUCGUCGGGCUCCAAUCGGACUCCCUGA
rnacentral:rRNA from 1 species